rnacentral:tRNA from 1 species
CGUCGCGGUGGCGCGCGCGCCUGAGCGCGGCCGCAUGGCGAGGGCGGGCCAUAGCGCGGCGAUGGCGCUGUUCGGCGCAGUGUCGCGGCGU